UUUUCCUUCAGUUUAUCCUAUAUUUUCAAAAAAGCGUGGGAGGAC
rnacentral:sRNA from 1 species